AUUGAACGCUGGCGGCAGGCUUAACACAUGCAAGUCGAGCGGGGUGAUGGUGCUUGCACUAUCACUUAGCGGCGGACGGGUGAGUAAUGCUUAGGAAUCUGCCUAUUAGUGGGGGACAACAUCCCGAAAGGGAUGCUAAUACCGCAUACGUCCUACGGGAGAAAGCAGGGGAUCACUUGUGACCUUGCGCUAAUAGAUGAGCCUAAGUCGGAUUAGCUAGUUGGUGGGGUAAAGGCCUACAAAGGCGACGAUCUGUAGCGGGUCUGAGAGGAUGAUCCGCCACACUGGGACUGAGACACGGCCCAGACUCCUACGGGAGGCAGCAGUGGGGAAUAUUGGACAAUGGGGGGAACCCUGAUCCAGCCAUGCCGCGUGUGUGAAGAAGGCCUUAUGGUUGUGAAGCACUUUAAGCGAGGAGGAGGCUCUUUUGGUUAAUACCCAAGAUGAGUGGACGUUACUCGCAGAAUAAGCACCGGCUAACUCUGUGCCAGCCGCCGCCGUAA
rnacentral:rRNA from 1 species